CUCUAAACACAUUGCAGGUGGGGCUGGUGUGUCACAUGGGCAUCAAUAGGUCCCAUAGAGGAGAGAAGCCAUCUCUAUACUCAGUGUUCUGAUCUAUGAACAUCUGGAUGCUUAGUAGCCUAACAUC